UACGUAGGGUGCGAGCGUUAAUCGGAAUUACUGGGCGUAAAGCGUGCGCAGGCGGUUUUGUAAGCCAGAUGUGAAAUCCCCGGGCUUAACCUGGGAAUCGGCAUUUGGGACUGCAAGGCUUGAGUGCGGCAGAGGAGACUGGAAUUCCUGGUGUAGCAGUGAAAUGCGUAGAUAUCAGGAGGAACACCGAUGGCGAAGGCAGGUCUCUGGGCUGACACUGACGCUCAUGCACGAAAGCGUGGGAGC
rnacentral:rRNA from 1 species